CUUUAGUCUCAGUUUAAUAACCAAAAUAUGAGGUUAAAAUUUAAUUCUGGCUACAGAAUUAAGGCUUCUCUCUCCUGCCGCACUUCCAGGCCAGUUGCAGGCAUGAUACCAGCAGUCUGGGAGGUAGAGACAAGAGGACACAUCUCUGCUGCUCCCUUCUUUCCCCAUGGUUAUGCGCCAACUUUGGUUUCACCAGGCCUACAGUGCUUCCCAGAGAUGGGGUUUUACUAUGUUGGAGAAGCUGGUCUCAAACUCCUGGGCUCAAGUCAUCCUCCCGCCUCAGCCUCCCAAAGUGCUGAGAUUACAGACGUGUGCCUGGCCUAUUUUACUCGUUUUAAUAGAUGUAAGUUUGUUUCAAUUUAGGAUUUUUAAGACAGAGAGCACACUUUCAAUGAUUAGGAGAGACAAAGAUGGAAAUAAAGAUUUUAUUACUUACAGGUUGAGGGCUCAUGACACUCCUGGUGGCCAUAUACGCAGAGGUCAGGGAGAGAAAGGGACCUGUGGGCCAGCACCCUUAUUGGGUCCAGAGAGCUAUCCAAACAAGUUUCCAGCAGGGAAUUUAAUUGGUGGAUUUAAAGCAAGCAGGCAUGAGUUCCAGGGGGCCACACUGACUGAGGUAUGUAUGUAUGUACCAUAGUUUAACUAUUUGCUCAAUGAAAGACAUAUAUUAAUAGUUUCCAGUUUUUGCUGUUAUGAAUAAAGCUACUAUAAACAUUCAUGUACAGGUUUUUGUAUUAAUGCAAGUCUUCAUUUCUUUGGAAGAGAUGACUGAAGUUCAAUUACUGGGUUACAUGGUAGUUGCAUAUUUCUUUUUUGCACACUGACAGAGAGGUAGUCACUAUGGCAUGUCUGAAUAGUUCGUUCCGUGUGUGAGUAUCAGCAGGGCCAGUCAAGCAGCCUGCAUCUAGCCACCACCUAGUGAAGUAGUCACCAGAGAGCAGUUGUAUAAGGCAGAUAUCUGGAUCCACCACAUUGAGGAACUGGGGGAAGGGAGCACCAAACCGAAAACUGUGUCCAAGGUGACGGAGUCCUGCCUCUGGUGUGAGAAAGCCCAGCUUAUAUUUAAAGUGGAUGCCAAAGCAAUAUAAAAUUAUAGGAAUUCAUUACCAAACUGAUAGCUUGUGGUUUUAAUUUGCAUUUCCCCAAUGAAUAAUGAUGUUGAGCAUCAUUUCAUGUGUUUAUUUGGCAUCUGUGUUACUGUGUGCAUGAAAUAUGUCUUCAUGUCUUUUGUCCAUGUUCUAAUUGGAUUUUCUCAUACUGUUGAGUUUUGAAAAUUUUUUAUAUAUUCCAUAUACUAGUCCUUUGUUGGAUAUGUGGUUUUCAAGUAUUUUCUCCCAGUCCGUAGCUUACCUUUUUGCCCUCUUAACAGAGUCUUUCACAAAAUGUGUUUUUUUUUUCUUUUUUUUUGAAACAGAGUCUCAGUCUGUCACCCAAGCUGGAGUGCAGUGGUGUGAUCUUGGCUCACUGCAACCUCCACUUCCCGGGUUCAAGUAAUUCUCCUGCUUCAGCCUUCCGAGUAGCUGGGAUUACAGGCUCCCACCACCACAACUGGCUAAUUUUUGUAUUUUUAGAAGAGACAGGGUUUCACCAUGUUGGCCAGGCUGGUCUCAAACUCCUGACUUCAGGAGAUCUGCCCACCUCAGCCUCCCAAAGUGCUGGGUUUACAGGGGGAGCCACCACGCCCAGCCUCACGGAAUGAGUUUUAAUUUUGAUGAAGUUUAGGUUUUACUUUUUGAAUCAUGCAUUUGGUAUGACAUAAUAGUUAACAUUUUAUGUGUGGAAAUAUGUGCAUUCUCUCAUUCCCUCUCCUCCCAUGUCCAAUCCAUUGGCAGGUCCUGUCAGCACCAUCUCCAAGAUAUAACCUAAAUGUGUGUACCUUUCUCCAUUUUUAUAGCUAUCACCAAGCUUCAAACCACCAUCAUCUCUCACUCAGUUGGUCUCCCUUAUGUCAUGUGACCUCAUAACUUAAAAUCUCCCAAAGGUUUCCCAUUCACACUUAAAAUAAAAUCCAAACUCUACCGCAGUCUACAAGAACCUGCCCCAUCUGGACUCACCCUGGUGCACUAACUCCCACCUCCCUCCAUCUCACUGUGAUGCACUAAACUACAGCUACACUCCUUUCUGUUUGUUUAUAUUCUCACCCAACUCAAACAACCAGCUCCCUCUCACUUUGGGUCCUUGUAUAUGCAGGCCCCUCCCCAAUGUCUGCAGGACUAGCUUCUCCUCAUUCAGGAUUCAGUUCAAAUGUCAACCUCCCCAAGAAGCCUUCACUCAUCACCAUAUGUAAAGUAGCUUAUCUUUCUCAUCACUUUGUAUUAUGACUCUUUUAUUUUUAUAUAGCACUUUAUUAGCUGAAGUUAUUUAUUUGUUUACUCUGCAUACCCCUAGUCAAAUGUAUGCGCACCCAUAUUUUUCUAGCCACAUUCAUUAGACCAAUGCAGCAGAGAAGAAAAGCCUCAAUAAUUAUUAUGACAUGGCAUGUUAGGAUACCAAGUAAAUUGCAUUUGUAAAAUGUGAUUUUCUGUUGGUGUUCACUUCUGCUCUACUGACAUUUGGUAAGUAUUAUUGACUGACUGACUAACUAAUGUGGUCAUUAGUCUUCAUAAAGAAAGGCUCUCUACAAAAAUGGAGCGAUGCCCUUUUUCUGGCAUUUAAUACGUAAGAAAUUGCCUCUGAUGGAAACCAGAGUUGCCUGAUUACUAUCAGCACAGGAGAAAUGUAUUAAUGUGCCUUUCUAGUAACAGGUUUUUAGAAAGUCAAAUAUAAACAAAUCUGUCUGUUUGUGUGUGUGCAUGUGGUGG
rnacentral:lncRNA from 1 species